rnacentral:lncRNA from 1 species
GGCCACCGCAGCUGCACACAGCUUCCCUCUGUCCUUCGCAGGGGCCUUUCCCAUGCUCCCAUCCAAUGCAGCAGCAGCCGCCGCGGUUGCCGCUGCAACAGCAAUCAGCCCACCGUUAUCAGUGUCUGCAGCCUCCAGUCCUCAGCAGACAAGCAGUGGAACAAACAGUAAACCUUACCGACCCUGGGGGACAGAAGUUGGAGCCUUUUAAGUUAUUCUUGAAUCUCUUUGCAAUAGUAACUGGUGUCCUCCGUUUCGGAAUCAGCUUCAAACCUCUGCACCCGGACGGUAGUCAUACAGAUACGUCCAGAUCUCCACAGCAGCAAUAAAGCGAUUUGAGAAGAAACUUCCCACAAAUGGAAAUGUAGUAUUAUUUUUUCCUUUGUUUAAGGCAGCUUGGCAACUGACAUCAACAACUUGAAAGCCGCACACCGGUUUCCAUUUAAACUUUCUUGGAAAAUACACCGAUGUUACCAUCCAGUAGUGCAUUUAUACUCCUGAUUUGGAAAAGAAAAAACCCCAUAACUGAGUUCUCCUGAUGCAGGAAGGGAGAAGAAAAAAAAAAUACCAUGUUUCCUAAGUGCCUGAACUAAGAAACAUAAUGUAGCACAAGGUCAGAAGGGUAUAACCGUUAAGGUGAGAAAGGGAGAGUGCAGACAAGGUGUCGGGCUGCAGAUACAGUGUUCUUUGGGAACCAGAAAGAUGAAUGAAAGUUAAGUUGAAAGACCUAGUUUUGUCUUUGUUUUCUUUAUACAGACUUGCCAGGCAGUGACAUUUAGCAGUGCACUGAAAUAAAAAUUCCCCCAGAGCCCCCAUUAACAAGCAUUUCUGGUCUGCCUUCAAGCUUCCGUACCUCUGGUGAGCCCUAGCUUAAAACGCUAUGCUUCUUUAUGUAAACUUACAGGUAUACAUGCACUAGAAGCAGUUACCUACUGUGUGCCCACCAGAGGUUCACUCACACGAACGGGAAAACUUCAGUUUGCCAGACUUUGGAUUAAUUUAUUGUUUCACUUGGACUAUGUUUAUAUAUUUAACUUCUUCAGUUUUCUCCUGACAACAUGUAAUGUCUGUUCUUGUCUGUUUGGGGGUGGGGGGGGUGUUGCAUUUUUGGAAGUAACGAGAGAAGGAGAGAUGAUAUGGAAGGGAAAAGCUACAUGAUGUAAAUGUCUUGGUCAAAUCACAACGAAUGUAUGGAAUGAGUUGUAUAUAAAUUAUUUUUGUCCAUGCAUAGACUAGUGCUACAUAAUGGUGUUUUGGUUUUGAUUUUUUUUUAUCUUAACAAUGAAAUAAUCUCUUAAGACAUUGAAAUUGAGCACAUGAGAUUUUAUAUUUGAAAGAAUAAGGCACAGCAUGUAUUCUUAUGCACUUCGUUUCUCUGCUGUGUGGAGAAAGCAGUAAACAAGAGAAUAUUAAACAUUAUGCAAAGUUAUACUCAUAAAUAUGUUUUUAAAAUUACUGUACCUAGUCUCUUCUGUAUUACUUUGUAACUUUUUUCUAUGCAAAAGUCUACGUGUCACUAAUUAAAUGACGUCCUUUUUGACUAUUUC